CCUACGGGUGACAGCAGUGGGGAAUAUUGGGCAAUGGGCGCAAGCCUGACCCAGCACCGCCGCGUGAAGGAAGAAGGCUUUCGGGUUGUAAACUUCUUUUGUCAGGGACGAAGCAAGUGACGGUACCUGACGAAUAAGCCACGGCUAACUACGUGCCAGCAGCCGCGGUAAUACGUAGGUGGCAAGCGUUAUCCGGAUUUAUUGGGUUUAAAGGGCGUGUAGGCGGGAAUGCAAGUCAGAUGUGAAAACUAUGGGCUCAACCCAUAGCCUGCAUUUGAAACGGUAUUUCUUGAGUGCUGGAGAGGCAAUCGGAAUUCCGUGGGUAGCGGUGAAAUGCGUAGAUAUACGGAGGAACAGCAGUGGCGAAGGCGGAUUGCUGGACAGUAACUGACGCUGAGGCGCGAAAGCGUGGGGAGCAAACAGGAUUAGAGACCCGGGUAGUC
rnacentral:rRNA from 1 species